rnacentral:rRNA from 1 species
GGAAAAGAAACCAACAGGGAUUGCCCUAGUAACGGCGAGUGAAGCGGCAACAGCUCAAAUUUGAAAUCUGGCCCCUUUGGGGUCCGAGUUGUAAUUUGCAGAGGGUGCUUUGGCGUUGGCUGUGGUCUAAGUUCCUUGGAACAGGACGUCACAGAGGGUGAGAAUCCCGUACGUGGCCGCCAGCCUCCGCCGUGUAAAGCCCCUUCGACGAGUCGAGUUGUUUGGGAAUGCAGCUCUAAAUGGGAGGUAAAUUUCUUCUAAAGCUAAAUAUCUGCCAGAGACCGAUAGCGCACAAGUAGAGUGAUCGAAAGAUGAAAAGCACUUUGGAAAGAGAGUCAAAAAGCACGUGAAAUUGUUGAAAGGGAAGCGCUUGCAGCUAGACGUGCCUUGGGUUGAUCAGCCGGGCUUCUGCCCGGUGCACUCUUCCUCUGGCAGGCCAGCAUCAGUUUGGGCGGCUGGAUAAAGGUCUGUUAAACGUGACUCCCCUCGGGGAGAGCUUAUAGGGCAGACGACAUGCAGCCAGCCUGGACUGAGGUCCGCGCAUCUGCUAGGAUGCUGGCGUAAUAGCUGUAAGCGGCCC